rnacentral:tRNA from 1 species
UCCCUGAUGGCCUAGCAGUAAGAUUCAGCAUUGUCACUGCUGUGGCUUGGGUUCGAUCCCUGGCCUGGGAA